CAAUGAUAUCGGUAGCGUGUUCUUAGGGGGACGUAUUUGCCAUUGCACUGUUGUCAAAAUUUGUCCAGUCGUACAUGUCGAAGCUGUCUGCUGAAUAAAUACAAUUUACAGAAUGACAGAUGGUCCAGAAACGCCGCCUAACUAUGAGGAGCAGUUUGCCCACCGGUUUUCUCUCGAGGACCCAGAGUACCAGCAGUACGUGAGUCGCCCCGCCAACCCCCCGCCACUGGUAGAGGACUGGUGCGGGCGUGGAGGUGGAAACAACCGGGGCAGAGACAACAGAUCCCAGGACCGCGGCGGGUACAGGGGCCGGGGUUGGGGAGGGGACAGGGAC